UUGCCCUUAGUAACGGCGAAGUGAAGCGGCAACAGCUCAAAUUUGAAAUCUGGCUUCGGCCCGAGUUGUAAUUUGCAGAGGAAGCUUUAGGCGCGGCACCUUCUGAGUCCCCUGGAACGGGGCGCCAUAGAGGGUGAGAGCCCCGUAUAGUUGGAUGCCUAGCCUGUGUAAAGCUCCUUCGACGAGUCGAGUAGUUUGGGAAUGCUGCUCAAAAUGGGAGGUAAAUUUCUUCUAAAGCUAAAUACCGGCCAGAGACCGAUAGCGCACAAGUAGAGUGAUCGAAAGAUGAAAAGCACUUUGAAAAGAGGGUUAAAUAGCACGUGAAAUUGUUGAAAGGGAAGCGCUUGUGACCAGACUUGCGCCGGGCUGAUCAUCCGGUGUUCUCACCGGUGCACUCUGCCCGGCUCAGGCCAGCAUCGGUUCUCGCGGGGGGAUAAAGGUUCCGGGAAUGUAGCUCCUCCGGGAGUGUUAUAGCCCGGGGCGUAAUGCCCUCGCGGGGACCGAGGUUCGCGCUCUGCAAGGAUGCUGGCGUAAUGGUCAUCAGCGACCCGUCUUGAAACACGGACCAAGGAGUCAAGGUUUUGCGCGAGUGUUUGGGUGUAAAACCCGCACGCGUAAUGAAAGUGAACGUAGGUGAGAGCUUCGGCGCAUCAUCGACCGAUCCUGAUGUUUUCGGAUGGAUUUGAGUAAGAGCGUUAAGCCUUGGACCCGAAAGAUGGUGAACUAUGCUUGGAUAGGGUGAAGCCAGAGGAAACUCUGGUGGAGGCUCGCAGCGGUUCUGACGUGCAAAUCGAUCGUCAAAUCUGAGCAU
rnacentral:rRNA from 1 species